UAUUGCACAAUGGGCGCAAGCCUGAUGCAGCGACGCCGCGUGAGGGAUGACGGCCUUCGGGUUGUAAACCUCUUUCAGCAGGGAAGAAGCGAAAGUGACGGUACCUGCAGAAGAAGCGCCGGCUAACUACGUGCCAGCAGCCGCGGUAAUACGUAGGGCGCGAGCGUUGUCCGGAAUUAUUGGGCGUAGAGAGCUUGUAGGCGGUUUGUUGCGUCUGCUGUGAAAGACCGGGGCUUAACCCCGGUAUUGCAGUGGGUACGGGCAGACUAGAGUGCAGUAGGGGAGACUGGAAUUCCUGGUGUAGCGGUGAAAUGCGCAGAUAUCAGGAGGAACACCGAUGGCGAAGGCAGGUCUCUGGGCUGUAACUGACGCUGAGAAGCGAAAGCAUGGGGAGCGAACAGG
rnacentral:rRNA from 1 species